rnacentral:rRNA from 1 species
UACGGAAGGGGCAAGCGUUGUUCGGAAUCAUUGGGCGUAAAGGGCGCGCAGGUGGUUCUGUAUGUCUACCGUGAAAGCGUACGGCUCAACCGUAUUUUGUCGGUAGAAACUGCAGGACUUGAGGCUGGGAGGGGCUGGUGGAAUUCCCUGUGUAGCGGUGAAAUGCGUAGAGAUGGGGGAGAACACUCGUGGCGAAGGCGGCCAGCUAGACCAGUUCUGACACUGAGGCGCGACAGCGUGGGGAGCAAACAGG